rnacentral:rRNA from 1 species
UACGUAGGGGGCAAGCGUUGUCCGGAGUUACUGGGCGUAAAGGGCGCGCAGGCGGUUUGCUCAGUUCGAGGUGACAGUGCCCGGCUUACCUGGGCAAGUGCUUCGAAGACGGGCAGACUUGAGGGCCUCAGAGGAACAUGGAAUUCCCGGUGGAGCGGUGAAAUGCGUAGCGAUCGGGAGGAACACCAAGGCGAAGGCAGUGUUCUGGGAGGCAUCUGACGCUCAGGCGCGAAAGCCAGGGGAGCGAACGGG